GGAGAGGACAGCUCAAGUGGUAGAGCGUGUGCUUAGCAUGCACGAGGUCCUGGGUUCAGUCCCCAGUGCCUCCG
rfam:Camelus ferus unplaced genomic scaffold scaffold245, whole genome shotgun sequence.